rnacentral:rRNA from 1 species
ACGGAAGGCAGCAGUGGGGAAUAUUGGGCAAUGGGCGAAAGCCUGACCCAGCGACGCCGCGUGAGGGAAGAAGGUCUUCGGAUUGUAAACCUUAGUCAACAGGGAAGAAGCAAGUGACGGUACCUGUGGAGGAAGCCACGGCUAACUACGUGCCAGCAGCCGCGGUAAUACGUAGGUGGCGAGCGUUAUCCGGAUUUACUGGGUGUAAAGGGCGCGUAGGCGGGGAUGCAAGUCAGAUGUGAAAUCCAUGGGCUUAACUCAUGAACUGCAUUUGAAACUGUAUCUCUUGAGUGUCGGAGAGGUAGAUGGAAUUCCUAGUGUAGCGGUGAAAUGCGUAGAUAUUAGGAGGAACACCAGUGGCGAAGGCGAUCUACUGGACGAUAACUGACGCUGAGGCGCGAAAGCGUGGGGAGCAAACAGGAUUAGAUACCCUGGUA